CUCAUGUCUCAUGUUGUUUCUAAUUUAUGUGCCCCAUUGCCUCAUGUUGAACGUCCAGGAGAUGCUGAACCAUGAUGAGGGACGUAAUGAGACAAAGUACCCCGAUUUAGCUGCCUUGAUCCGCCUAGAAGCUGACAUUAAUGAGCUAGAUGUGCAAAAAGUUAAGCUUUGGUUCGUUCCAAUACGUGACAACGCAUACUGCAUGGUUUACUGCUUGAACAUGGUGCACAAGCGCAUCGAUGUACUUGACUCCAACAAUGAAGACAUAAGUGCCUAUCACGAGGUUCUUGGUGAACGCAUUUUAUCUAGGCUAAAUGUCUUGUUCUAGAAGGCAACUUUUGGAAAGUUUAAAGACUUUUCUAGAUGGAAAAAGGCCGAUUAGAAAUUUUAAGCUGGGCAAUGAUCCAAAUGAUUCCGGAUUUAUCUCUAUGAAAUUAAUGGAGUUCUGGGAUGGCGACAAAUUACACAUGGACACAGCAAAUGCAAACUUGUCGAAUAUCCGGUCUGAGAUGCUCUUUUAUAUGUUGUUUCAUCAAAUAAAUCAACAGAAGUUGCCAGCUGAAUUAGAGGCACUUAGGCUUCAUGAGUCAUCUAUGAUGAUGGGAUCAAGGCAGCUGAAGGUUUAAAUGUGCUUACCGACGACAAAA